AUACAGUGUGAGUAGUAAAGUGCAUUUCUUUUCUACCUUCAAUCUGUCAAAGACGCGAAUGCACCGCACAUAUUCCCAAAAGCAAAGGGAAAGAAAAGAAUAAGCAGAAGUUAACGGAGAACUCUGUAGAAACGUUUCUAAGAAUCAGAGCAACGAUCAGUGAAGCGAAAGGUUUUAGUUUGAAGAACCGGUCGCGGAGUCGGAGAUGGAGAUUUCGACUCCUCGUUCUUCAAAACCCUUGUCUAUUACUCCUGGUUCUAGGGUUUUGAGAAGCCCUCUCACCGAUGAACAGAUCUGGAAGCGCCUCAAAGACGCUGGCUUUGACGAGGAAUCAAUUAAGCACAAAGAUAAGGCUGCGCUUGUUUCUUAUAUCGCUAAGCUUGAAGCUGAGCUAUAUGAUCAUCAGCACCACAUGGGCCUUCUCAUAUUGGAGAAAAAGGAAUUGUCUUCCAAAUAUGAGCAAGUGAAGGCCUUGGCUGAAUCAUCUGAGUUAAUGCAUAAACAUGAUUCAGCCAUGAAUAAAUCUGCAUUAACUGAAGCAAGGAAACGCGAAGAAAGCUUGAAGAAGACAGUUGGCGUCAAAGACGCAUGCAUUGCAAGUCUUGAGAAGGCAUUGCACGAGAUGCGUACUGAAUGUGCUGAAACAAAGGUUGCAGCUGAUAGUAAAUUUGCUGAAGCAUGGCAGCUAACAGAUGAAGCACAGAAAAAGUCUACAGAGGCUGAAGCCAAGGUGCGUGCUGCAGAAUCAUUGCAGGCAGAGGCUAACCGAUAUAACAGUGUUGCAGAACGAAAGCUUCGUGAUGUUGAAGCACGUGAAGAUAACCUCAGGCGGCAAAUCAUAUCUUUCAAGUCAGAUUGUGAUGAAAAAGAAAAGGAGAUGAUUCUUGAGAGGCAAUCUCUUUCUGAAAGACAAAAGGGUUUGCAGCAAGAACAGGAAAGAUUACUUCAAUCACAAGCCUUGCUCAACCAGAGAGAGGAUCACCUUUUCACUAGAGCUCAGGAAUUAAAUCGUCUUCAAAAAGAGCUGGAGGAGACAAAGGUGAAAAUUGAAAAGGAACAUGAAACUCUCCAUGACAAGAAAACCUCCCUAAAGCUGAUGGAGGCAACCUUAACACAACGAGAAGAGGAACUUACUAAAUGGAGAACAGAGCUGAACAAGAAAGAGCAAGAGUUACUUGAAUUUCAAGUGAAACUUUCUAAUAGAGAAUCUGAUGAAACUCAGAAAGUUAUUGCUGGUCAGGAAGCCACAUUAAGAACCAAAAAACAUAAUUUGGAAGUUGAGCUACAAAUGCAGCGCAAAUUGGUUGAAAAUGAAAUUGAGGCGAAGAGAAGGGCUUGGGAAUUGAAGGAGGUUGAUCUUAAACAACGUGAGGAUCAAAUCCUGGAAAAGGAACAUGAAUUGGAGGUUCUGUCAAGGACAUUGAGUGAGAAGGAGAAGGAUCUGGUGCAUUUGUCAAGUGCUCUUGAAGAAAAAGAUCAUAGGUUGAGUGCUACUGAGAAGGAGUAUGAAUUAAACAAAGCCCUUCUGCAAAAGGAGAAAGAUGAUAUUGACCAAGCAAAGCAUGAUCUGCAGAAAUCUUUGGCAUCUCUGGAAAAUAAAGUAAAACAAGUUGAUAUUGAAAGAGAGAGACUGGAGGCCAUGAAAAGUGAAACAGGGGACUUGUCAAUUUUGGAAGUUAAGCUAAAGGAAGAGAUUGAUCUUGUAAGAUCUCAGAAGUUGGAGCUUUUGACUGAGGCAGAUAAGCUGAAAGCUGAGAAGGCAAAGUUUGAAGCUGAAUGGGAGCUUCUUGAUGAGAAAAAGGAAGAGUUGCAGAAAGAAGCAGAAUUCAUAGCAAAGGAAAGGGAGGCAGUUUCCAAUUUUAUUAAGAAUGAGCGUGACCAGCUAAGAGGAGAGAAAGAAAAUUUACGUAAUCAGUACACCCAAGAUUUGGGCUUUCUUGCCAGUGAACGGGAAAAGUUCAUGAACAAGAUGGCACUUGAACAUACUGAAUGGUUUGGCAAGAUGCAGAAAGAACGAGCAGAUUUCUUACGGGACAUUGAGAUGCAAAAGCAGGAGCUGAAUAACCUCAUUGAGAAGAGACGUGAAGAAGUGGAAAGUUAUUUGAAGGAAAGAGAAAAGGUUUUUGAGGAAGAAAAGAUCACUGAACUCCAUUACAUUAAUGCUCUUAAGGAGAAGGCAGCAAAUGAGUUGGAACAGGUCUCCAUGGAGAUGAAAAGGCUUCAAACUGAGCGGGCUGAGAUAAAUUUGGAUCGUGAACGGAGAAAUAGGGAAUGGACUGAACUGACUAACUGUAUUGAGGAACUUGAGGUUCAAAGAGAUAAACUACAAAAACAGAGAGAACUGUUGCAUGCUGAUAGAAUUGAAAUUUAUGCCCAGAGUGAAGAAUUGAAAAAGUUAAAUGAUUUGAAAGCUGUUUCUGAUGACAUUGCUAUCAAUGAAAUGCUUAAAUCUGAUAUGGAAUCUAACCGAAAGAAAAUCUCUGCAAGGAAGAACUUGAAGCAUCAAACUCGAACACAAGCUGGUGAUAACAUCAGCAAAGGGUUUGAUGAUACUCCAACUGUGCAGAAGUCAUCUGUUGUUUCUCCUCCUAGCCCUGUUCGUUUCUCAUGGAUAAAACGAUGCAGAGAAAUGAUUUUCAGAAAUUCUCCUGAGAAGCAGCUCAUGAGAAAAGUAGAUUCUCCUCUGGUAUCUGAUUCAGGUAACAUUAGCAAUGGGCAAGAGAACUUGGAAAUUGACAAACCACUUGGUAAUUUUAGUAAGGGACAGCAAAUGGGAUUUGCUUGUGAGGAACCUAAAGUAAUAGUUGAAGUACCCUCUCGUGAUGAAAAUGCUAACAGAACAAAUGAAUUUGAAUCUGAGACUAAAGACGUGAAUGGAAAAACUGCUCUCUUAUUUUCGGAUGAACAUCCCGUGGGCAGGCGGAAAAGAGGCAGGGGGAACUUGACUAACAAAGCUGGUGAUCCACUUGUAGAUCUGGGUCAAAAUAAGAAAUCAAGAGCAGAAGAUCAAACAAAUGAGAAUCCUUUAGACCAGGGCCCUCCCUGCUGUGUGAUAUCAACCCAAUCAGAUGUGUUAGAUGUCCCAAAGUUAAUGCCAUCAAAUCAAGCACUAGGGAUUACUGAAGAAACUCGUGUAGUAAUGAUUGAUAAGGUUAUUCAUGUAUCAGAAGUGACUUCUGAGAAAGUUGAUGCUCUCAUCAUCCCAAAUCAAGAACCAAGAGAUAAUUUGCAGAAUCCUACAUCGGGAGUGGGUCAAUGCAAUCUUCAUGGAGAAACAAUUGAUCAAUCAAAUGCUAAAAGUAGACAGGAAGAUAUUUUUCCUUGUGCCUCUAGUGUAUUGGGAAGCACAGAAGAAAUAUCCAAAGGAAACAAUGGACAAGUUUCUGAGCACUGUUAGUGUUAGGUAUUGUUUGACUGAUGCCAGGGACUGUAGAUGAGGAAUAUGAGCAUUGGUACUGAUAAUUCGUGUGGUUAGGACAAAGUAUAUAUUAGGAGUGUGUGAGGAUGGCAAAGGAGUGACUCUUCAUUUGUUGGUGACUUGCAGCUGGGUAUGUAUGUAGAGUUAACUAGGGGAUGUAUGCUGUGUGUUAGCGCUUCAUGGAUGUGGUUGCAAAUUGCAAUUUGGGGGGGGGGGGAGGAUUCUCUGUUGAUAUCAUAGUACGUAAAGUAGGAAUGUUACGUGCGCCAAAAAGAAUGAAGCCAAAGAAAAAUAGUAGAGAAGUGAGAUGCAGCCAAGGGUUCUUUACUGGCAAAAGUUUACAUGUUGGUUUUCUGAUUCAGUGAGUUUUUCUGGUAUGGUUUUGUUUGACGUUUGGAACCCUCUAGAUUUGAGUUUUUGACCCAGCGCUGAAUGUCAUCGUGUAGCAAUUAAUAGUAAUUUUGCGUCUACAAACAUGAAGGUAGUCAGAAUCCCAUGUAUCUGAAGUUCCUGUUUAGUAUUAUGUGCUUGAUAUUGUGCUGAUGAAGGUUGGAUUCUUUAACAAGUCACCGCCUUAGUAUUCAGGAGUUCGCACGUUGAAUGUAAUGCAAAGCAAACAAAAAGAAAUCAAACAAGAUUUCUUUCUUUCUUUCUUUUUGAAAAACACGUUUUAUUGUAGAUUGAUGGUUAAAAGUAGAAUUAACUUACAUUGACAUCAUAUUCAAUGGGAACAAUUGAUUUGAUUUAAAUUGGGUUUUCCUAAUAUUUCCUAUCAACUCAUUUUAUAAAAUUACCAUGCCUUAAU